ACGUAGGAGGCAAGCGUUAUUCGGAUUUACUGGGCGUAAAGCGCGUGCAGGCGGUUUGGUAAGUUUGAUGUGAAAGCCCCCGGCCCAACUGGGAGAUGGCGUUCAAUACUACCAGACUAGAGGAUGGGAGAGGGAGGUGGAAUUCCGGGUGUAGUGGUGAAAUGCGUAGAUAUCCGGAGGAACACCAGUGGCGAAGGCGGCCUCCUGGCCCAUUUCUGACGCUCAGACGCGAAAGUGAGGGUAGCAAACAG
rnacentral:rRNA from 1 species